UUUUGACUUUCAGAGCAGUUGCUAGAAAAUAACUUUACGAAUAUUGUAUUUUCCCGCACGUAAAGCCUCCAUUUUGUUAACAGAAAAACUGAAGAGAAAAAAAUGUUAAUAGAAGGAUAAAAAAAAAAAAAAAAAGCGCGCAGCAAGAAGCGUAGGACUAGAAUCGAAACCCUAGAAAUUGACCUUUCGCUUAAGAAUCUGAGCUGCGAAGAACUCGACUUCGAAAUCGGCGAGGAAGGACUGGCGAUCGGAGGUGAGGAUAGAGGUGGCGAUUUCCCAAGCAGCGUCGGUUUGCUGAAACUGAACGAGCCACUGAUUCGCUGCUACGCGGUUGCAUGAUUCGGUGUCGUGAUUCAAGACGUGAACAGCUUGCGCCACCUUGAUUUGCAAGUCCAUCUGCAUCAAAUGACGGCCGUAAAGCUAUUUUAAUAAUAAUAAUUAAGAAUAGUAAUUACUCCUUGUCUGUUUGAUUUCUUCUUAGCAAUAACUUUUCCUCUUUCAUCGGACGGCUACGAGCGACACAAAUGAAUCAAGUGUUCAUGUUUUGCUGAUUGAUGAUGAUACAUGGAUUGAAUAGAUUGGAUGGGGAUGACAGAGGCAUGGAGUUUUUUCUUUGAUUUUAAAUUUUUUUAAUUAAUUAAUUUAAUUUUACUUUCGAGAUUGACCUGACCGUGACUAGCCACUACUUUGCUACUUGCUAGCUGGUAACUGAGGCUCAACACUCCUACCAACUGAACGGGUCCGCAACUGGUUCAUCGGUUUUCUUUUUUUUCUUUUUUUUAAAGAAAUACUACAAAACAAAACUAGGAUGAAAAGUCAAAACAGGACUAAGAUAAAAUUGCAAUUACAAAAUCCAAAUAAAUACUACAAAUAUAACUAAUCGGAUGAAAAGACAAAGCGGGACAAAGAUGAAAUUGCAAAUUACAAAAUUCAAAGCAAAUAAUUUUUGAAUAAUCACUUUCAGGCUUUCAGCUGCCCUCUAACAAGCGUAUUUUGACACUGAUAAAUGACCAACUUAUACAUUAUACGGUAGCGAGGGCAAGAACGGAACUAUAUGUACUUAUAGAGCGUCCAAGGCCACACACCCUCGAGUUAAAAAAAAAAAAAAAAAUCAAAUUCCAGAAUAAAAAAAUAAAACUGAGCUAUUUUUUGUCAUUUUUAUGUUUAGUCCCCUCAUUUUUUUGCUCAUUUUUGUUUUAUCCUACACGAUUUUAUGGUUUAUCUAUUAAUCCCCAGUGUUGGCCUCUUCAAUUUUAUAAAUUUUAUGUUGUAAAGCAGUCAAAUUCAUAAUAUAUCCAUUAUGGCAUCAAAUUAAAAUUUUGGUUUCGUCACUAAAAAAAGAGUGGUGCUUCGCCACAUCUAUUAGAAGCUAGGUCAAUUUUCUAUUAAAUAGUGUUGGCUAUAACUAUAUGUCAUUCAGUAAUAAUUAUAAAAGUGAAUGUAAAAUUUUACUAAUGUUUUUAUAUAAAUAGUAGCUCAAAAUUCCUUAAUGAUGGUACAAAUAGAUAUAUUCAAUAACAAAAAUUUUAAUCAUACUAGUGAAGAACCUAGCAAAUGAUGGUCAAUAAUAAUGAGGACGGACCCAUUAGCGGACUAUAUCUGGCUAUAGAUGAGGAAAAAAAAAUACUUUUAUUAAAAUUUACAAACUGCCAUCAUAGAUAUAUUAUAAACGGCUACUCAAUAUUAAGAAUAUAUUUUUUCAAUUGAUUAUUUUGACUUUCUCUUGUCUUGUUUCGCAACUUUCACUGAUCAAUUACUAACAAAAAAAAAAAAAAAAAAAGCGCGCAGCAAGAAGCGUAGGACUAGAAUCGAAACCCUAGAAAUUGACCUUUCGCUUAAGAAUCUGAGCUGCGAAGAACUCGACUUCGAAAUCGGCGAGGAAGGACUGGCGAUCGGAGGUGAGGAUAGAGGUGGCGAUUUCCCAAGCAGCGUCGGUUUGCUGAAACUGAACGAGCCACUGAUUCGCUGCUACGCGGUUGCAUGAUUCGGUGUCGUGAUUCAAGACGUGAACAGCUUGCGCCACCUUGAUUUGCAAGUCCAUCUGCAUC
rnacentral:lncRNA from 1 species